AUUGAACGCUGGCGGCAUGCCUAACACAUGCAAGUCGAGCGGAUGAAGGGAGCUUGCUCCUGGCUUCAGCGGCGGACGGGUGAGUGAUGCCUAGGAAGCUACCUGGUCUAUGGGGCUAACGUCCGGAAACGGGCGCUAAUACCGCAUACGUCCAGAGGGAGAAAGGGGGGGAUCUUCGGAGCUCGCGCUAUCUGAUGACACUAGGUCGGAUUAGCUAGUUGGUUGGGUAAAGGCCUACCAAGGCGACGAUCCGUAACUGGUCUGAGAGGAUGAUCAGUCACACUGGAACUGAGACACGGUCCAGACUCCUACGGGAGGCAGCAGUGGGGAAUAUUGGACAAUGGGCGAAAGCCUGAUCCAGCCAUGCCGCGUGUGUGAUGAAGGUCUUCGGAUUGUAAAGCACUGUUAGUUGGGAAGAAGGGCAGUAAGUGAAUAUCUGCCUGUCUUGACGUUACCAACAGAAUAAGCACCGGCUAACUUCGUG
rnacentral:rRNA from 1 species